UUCUUUUUAGCUCACCUGGCCCAAAGGGCCAAGUGAGCUUUUCUCAUCACUUGGCGUCCGGCGUCCGUCGUCCGUCGUCGUCGUCCGUCGUCCGUCGUCCGUCGUCGUCCGUCGUCGUCGUCGUCGUCGUCCGUCGUUAGCUUUUACAAAAAUCUUCUACUCUGAAACUACUGGGCCAAUUUUUACCAAAUUUGGCCACAAUCAUUAUUAGGGUAUCUAGUUUAAAAAUUGUGUCCGGUGACCCGGCCAACCAACCAAGAUGGCCGCCAUGGCUAAAAAUAGAACAUAGGGAUAAAAUGCAGUUUUUGGCUUAUCACUCAAAAACCAAAGCAUUUAGAGCAAAUCUGACAUGGGGUAAAAUUGUUAAUCAGGUCAAGAUCUAUCUGCCCUGAUAUUUUGAGAUGAAUCAGACAACC
rnacentral:lncRNA from 1 species